AGUACAGCUUUCGCAGGAGCAAGGGAUGCCUGAGCACAAGUGGCUGAGUUCCGCGUGACUUUAUGAAGCCCUUUCCCACCUCCCUCCUUCAGGAAAACGGGGGAUUCUGCACCUGCGUCAGGGACAGUCUGGCCAAAGCCUCUGCUCUGCCUCCGGGGACGAGGAGCUAGCACAAAUAACCGUUUUGAAAUUGGAUCUUGACAAAAUCUGCAACGAAUCCAUAAAGGAAACUGAAAGCAGUUUGAUCUUCAUCUUCAGUGACAGUCCCACAAAAGUUGAAGAAAUAUGUUAUGUCUCCAAAGAAGAGUACAGUUGUGCCCUAAAAUUCAAACAUGAUUAAGGGGUUUGGGUAAUAUGCCAGUGAUGUGCUUUUCAUUGUCGAGGAAUCCAUCUACUACACAAAAGAGGAACGGGUACACCAUCCAGCAGACAUCUGUGUGCCAAUCCCAGGAGGAAUGCCUGUGCUCUGCUAAGUCACAGCUCACGUGGCCCCUCUCUCCUGGAGAAUGAAUUAUCAGGGCGAUGUACAAAAGCAUGAAGAUAAGUCAGCUUAGAGCAGAUCAUCAGUCUUGAUUCUUUCAAAUAUUCCUCCAGAUGGAAAUGUCCUGUUUCGCAUGGAAUAACUGUAAAGACUCAACCUCAAACCUCUGAAGAUGAUUAGCUUCUGUGAUUUAGACUUGAGAUUCCAGGCCAUCCAGAUGUGUGGGACCCCAGAAUGGAAGUUAGCUCUCUCUACAUUGUUUUAUAUAAAGUCAGGAGAAUGGGGGAUAUAUAGGACAUUGACUGUGUCUGUUGAGCAGUUAGAUAUAGACGUGUGCCAGAGAAGACAACAAGAACACACUGAACACCUACCAUGUUCAAGGAAAUACAUCAGGUCCUCAGAUGACGAAGAAACAAUUCCUGACCUCAAGGAUCUCACUGUCUAGUGGAGGAAAUGGACAAAGAAAGAGAAGUAUACAAAAAAGUACUUUCAUGAAAUUAUUUCUGUAUCUAUUUUUCAUUUUUAGAGUCCACAGAGAAAAUAUAUUUAAUAUUGACACUAGAAUUCUAUGUCUUCUUGGAGUACAUGUUAUUAAUCUAUUAUAUUUCCCUCUUCUCCCCUCAUUUUAAAGUUCAACAGGCAACAUUAAAUGCCCUUUAAAAGUCUCAGAGGAUAUACGGAACAUUAUGUUGUCUUCUUACACAAUUAAAGAUAAUUCUUAGCUAAUAAUUAUGCAACAAAAAAGUGUUAAAAAUAGAUGCUGAGUAAUUAUAUAGAGAGAAUUUGAUAAUGAGGUGAGGUGGGCAGUAACCAUAGAAUUCUGUCACUCUCUAAUAGCUUGUCUCAAAUUAUCCUGUACUUUUGAGUCUCUGUGUCAAUCGAGUAUAUAAUUUAGUAUUUUUUAGGAAAUAAAUAUUUGUCUUUAUUCUAUGGCUAUAUGAUAUGUCUAUUUGCACAAUAAUCAUCAUCAUUCCAUAAGUUAUUUAAGGCACUUGUGGGCAUGUCUAUUGUCUAAUGUCUCAAAUUCUUUGACAUCUAAAUAUUUCCCCCAGCAAAUCUAUGCUUUUGAGACCCUCUUGCUGAAGAAAUGUAACAGUAUUUGCAUUUGUGUAAUUUCCUCAUCGCUAGCAUCAUAGUUGGAAUGUUGCAGCUUCUUAACAGCUUUGGGGAAACACUAAAAACUAGUUUUAAGACUGGAAACUGGGAAGAGUAGUGUAUUUAAUUGGCAUUUCAGAGGGGAUAUUUUAAAAAGCACCGAAAUUGACUUUGAUCCAAAAUUAUCUGAUUCAUACCUUCAACUGAUUAAAAAUUAUAAGCUAUAAAGCCACUUCAUUUUUGUUGUUGUUGUUAAAGAUUUUAUUUAUUUAUUUGACAGACAGAGAUUACAAGUAGGCAG